rnacentral:lncRNA from 1 species
GUUCUGUAUUUUUUAUUUAUAUGAUAUUAUAUAUAAGAUCAAAAGUGAUCAUGUUUUGACUUUAAAGUCAUAUAAAGUCUUAACAGCCAACAAGUCCAAACUAAAAUCCUAAUUCUAACCAGGUUUCUAUAGUUUAUAGAUACUGUACCUUAACUAUGUAAUAGUUUCCUUGUACUGUUAAACACUUCAUUUAUAUAACCCUUAUAUGUUUUUACAUUGCAGUUUUUUACCUAAAGAGUGUUGGUUUGGUUUAUUCAUAGUCUUUAUACAGCAUUCAUCACGUGAAUUGUUAUUAAAGAGUAGAUAUGCCUAAUAUCACCUACUUAUUAUACCUUAUACGGACGUUAUAUUACUAAUUAAAUACUAGUGCUACUAAGUUAUCUACCACUAUCUGAGCCACUACUUCUGCAGAUACUACCAGAAUAGCCACGUAUCACACUGUGUUGAAUAUUUUCUCUUGUAUUCAAAAGCGAAAGUGGGGCAGUAAUGUAAGUUGGGGUUUCCAGUGAAAGGGAGGGGGGGGAAACGGCUGUGCGACACACCGACUCUGCUCAUUCGCUGUUGGACUACUGCACAUUACAGCGACCACACAACAUCAACUUCAAAACAUAUCGGAAAUACGGAGGAGGGGGGGUAUUGUCGGGAAUAUCUACGGCUAAAAGCAACUUCACAAGCCAAGGGAUAAAAAGCAGCCCUGUCUGCAGAACAAAAGGCUCUGCAUUGCGACCCCCUCCCCCUCUGAGCUGUCAGAUUGAUUGAGUCAAUACUUGAAGAAUGAGAGGAUCAGUAUUGUACCAGUAAGGACUGCUUUUUUUUUUUUUUUUCCCGACAAGAUGAUAGACUAAUAGUUUAACUUGGGGUGUUAUCUUUGUAGUAAUGUUACACAAUGAUUCACUCUGCACACCCAGUUCCUUCUUGUUUUGUAUUGUUCAUACAAUCUUUUACACUUAUUUAGCAACUGAUAGGCAUAUUAAAAGGCAUGAAUGAAAACCUAUGACACAUUUUUAGCACAAAACAUUUUUAUUGUCAUAAAUUAUAUAUGUACAUAAGUGUUGAUAGUAACUGAGUUAUACAUAUAAGCACCG